rnacentral:rRNA from 1 species
AGUGAACGCUGGCGGUAGGCCUAACACAUGCAAGUCGAACGGCAGCACAGUAAGAGCUUGCUCUUACGGGUGGCGAGUGGCGGACGGGUGAGGAAUACAUCGGAAUCUACUUUUUCGUGGGGGAUAACGUAGGGAAACUUACGCUAAUACCGCAUACGACCUACGGGUGAAAGCAGGGGAUCUUCGGACCUUGCGCGAUUGAAUGAGCUGAUGUCGGAUUAGCUAGUUGGCGGGGUAAAGGCCCACCAAGGCGACGAUCCGUAGCUGGUCUGAGAGGAUGAUCAGCCACACUGGAACUGAGACACGGUCCAGACUCCUACGGGAGGCAGGAGUGGGGAAUAUUGGACAAUGGGCGCAAGCCUGAUCCAGCCAUACCGCGUGGGUGAAGAAGGCCUUCGGGUUGUAAAGCCCUUUUGUUGGGAAAGAAAAGCAGCAGGUUAAUACCCCGCUGUUCUGACGGUACCCAAAGAAUAAGCACCGGCUAACUUCGUG